AGAGUUUGAUCCUGGCUCAGGAUGAACGCUAGCGACAGGCUUAACACAUGCAAGUCGAGGGGCAGCGGGGUGUAGCAAUACGCCGCCGGCGACCGGCGCACGGGUGAGUAACGCGUAUGCAACUUGCCUAUCAGAGGGGGAUAACCCGGCGAAAGUCGGACUAAUACCGCAUGAAGCAGGGAUCCCGCAUGGGAAUAUUUGCUAAAGAUUCAUCGCUGAUAGAUAGGCAUGCGUUCCAUUAGGCAGUUGGCGGGGUAACGGCCCACCAAACCGACGAUGCGUAGGGGUUCUGAGAGGAAGGUCCCCCACACUGGUACUGAGACACGGACCAGACUCCUACGGGAGGCAGCAGUGAGGAAUAUUGGUCAAUGGUCGGGAGACUGAACCAGCCAAGCCGCGUGAGGGAGGAAGGUACAGAGUAUCGUAAACCUCUUUUGUCAGGGAACAAAGACUGGGACGCGUCCCCGGAUGAGUGUACCUGAAGAAAAAGCAUCGGCUAACUCCGUGCCAGCAGCCGCGGUAAUACGGAGGAUGCGAGCGUUAUCCGGAUUUAUUGGGUUUAAAGGGUGCGCAGGCGGUCUGUUAAGUCAGCGGUCAAAGCCCGAGGCUCAACCCCGGCCCGCCGUUGAAACUGGCAGUCUCGAGUUGGAGAGAAGUAUGCGGAAUGCGCGGUGUAGCGGUGAAAUGCAUAGACAUCGCGCAGAACUCCGAUUGCGAAGGCAGCAUGCCGGCUCCACACUGACGCUGAGGCACGAAAGCGUGGGUAUCGAACAGGAUUAGAUACCCUGGUAGUCCACGCAGUAAACGAUGAAUGCAGGCUGUCCGGGGGGACUGACCCCUGGGUGGCGAAGCGAAAGCGAUAAGCAUUCCACCUGGGGAGUAUGCCGGCAACGGUGAAACUCAAAGGAAUUGACGGGGGCCCGCACAAGCGGAGGAACAUGUGGUUUAAUUCGAUGAUACGCGAGGAACCUUACCCGGGCUCAAACGGGGAGUGGCGCAGGCAGAGACGCCUGUUUCCCACGGGACACUCCCCGAGGUGCUGCAUGGUUGUCGUCAGCUCGUGCCGUGAGGUGUCGGCUUAAGUGCCAUAACGAGCGCAACCCCCGCGUGCAGUUGCUAACAGUCAACGCUGAGGACUCUGCACGGACUGCCGGCGCAAGCCGCGAGGAAGGCGGGGAUGACGUCAAAUCAGCACGGCCCUUACGUCCGGGGCGACACACGUGUUACAAUGGGUGGUACAGCGGGAAGCCAGGCGGCGACGCCGAGCGGAACCCGAAAUCCACUCUUAGUUCGGAUCGGAGUCUGCAACCCGACUCCGUGAAGCUGGAUUCGCUAGUAAUCGCGCAUCAGCCAUGGCGCGGUGAA
rnacentral:rRNA from 1 species